CCUACGGGAGGCAGCAGUGAGGAAUAUUGGUCAAUGGCCGCAAGGCUGAACCAGCCAAGUCGCGUGAGGGAUGACGGUCCUAUGGAUUUUAAACCUCUUUUGUCAGGGAGCAAAGGGCGCCACGUGUGUCGUUUUGCGAGUACCUGAAGAAAAAGCAUCGGCAAACUCCGUGCCAGCAGCCGCGGUAAUACGGAGGAUGCGAGCGUUAUCCGAAUUUAUUGGGUUUAAAGGGUGCGCAGGCGGAAUGUCAAGUCAGCGGUAAAAUCUCGGGGCUCAACCCCGUCGUGCCGUUGAAACUGGCGUGCUUGAGUGAGCGAGAGGUAUGCGGAAUGCGUGGUGUAGCGGUGAAAUGCAUAGAUAUCACGAAGAACACCGGUUGCGAAGGCAGCAUACCGGCGGUCAACUGACGCUGAUGCACGAAAGCGUGGGUAUCGAACAGGAUUAGAUACCCGUGUAGUC
rnacentral:rRNA from 1 species